rnacentral:tRNA from 1 species
GGGCUCGUAGCUCAGUCUGGUAGAGCACUCGGCUCUUAACCGAGUGGUCGCGGGUUCAAUCCCGUCGGGCCCA